rnacentral:lncRNA from 1 species
CUGAUUUCUUUCAGCGUAUCUCCAGCCAAAAAAAUCAGGUCAGAGACUUUACUGCUUAAAUAGACUGCGCUUGAUUCCUCUGGAUUCAAAUCUGGAAUGCUGGACUUCAAAAUUCCCCAAAUUUGUGUGAAAUGGAAGAUGUGCAGUAUCUGCCUAGAAUGAACACUCAGAGUGAAAACCAGGCUUUGCUGAUGGUGCAGAAGGAUCUCAGCUGGGUGCACACAAGGAAUGUUUGAAUUGCAGCCACCUGAGGGGAAUCUGCAGAUGCCAGGUAAGGACCCACUCUCUGUGUCAGUGUAAGGAGAAGAGGGAUGCAAAGGAUGGGGUUCA